rnacentral:rRNA from 1 species
UACGGAGGGUGCAAACGUUGCUCGGAAUCAUUGGGCGUAAAGCGCACGUAGGCGGCCUGUUAAGUCGGAUGUGAAAGCCCCGGGCUCAACCCGGGAAGUGCAUUCGAAACUGGCGGGCUUGAAUAUGGAAGAGGGUCGCGGAAUUCCCGGUGUAGAGGUGAAAUUCGUAGAUAUCGGGAGGAACACCAGUGGCGAAGGCGGCGACCUGGGCCAAUACUGACGCUGAGGAGCGAAAGCGUGGGGAGCGAACAGG